GCCAUAUCAUGUUGAAACACCAGUUUUUAUAUGAUCACCAAAGUUAAGCAACAUCUAGCCUGGUCAGUACCUAGAUGAGUGACCACUUGGGAAUAUCAGAUGCUGUAAG